rnacentral:lncRNA from 1 species
CUCCCCCCCACGUCUAUUUAAAGGGAUGAAGUCUCUUGUGAAACCCCACCAUUGGCCAUCAUUAUUCACCAAAAAGAAGCCAUCUUCUUUAUCAUCGAGUCCGCUGGAUUUCAACCAAUAGUCACUGGAAAAACUAGAUAAGAUGCCAUAUUUCUUUGAGUUUUCAUCUUUUCACUCUUCCUCACCCUUAGAAACUUGAUUUGCGACCGACAAGUGCCAGAUUUCUCUUGGGACAAACCGAUCCUAUGUUUCCUAUUUUUCAUUGAGUUUCUUUGAAUUUUUAGUGGCAAUCAUCAC